AUUGAACGCUGGCGGCAUGCCUUACACAUGCAAGUCGAACGGCAGCACGGGUGCUUGCACCUGGUGGCGAGUGGCGAACGGGUGAGUAAUAUAUCGGAACGUACCUUAUUGUGGGGGAUAACGCAGCGAAAGCUGUGCUAAUACCGCAUAAUCCCUAAGGGGGAAAGCGGGGGACCGUAAGGCCUCGCGCAAUUAGAGCGGCCGAUACCUGAUUAGCUAGUUGGUGAGGUAAAGGCUCACCAAGGCAACGAUCAGUAGCUGGACUGAGAGGACGAUCAGCCACACUGGGACUGAGACACGGCCCAGACUCCUACGGGAGGCAGCAGUGGGGAAUUUUGGACAAUGGGGGCAACCCUGAUCCAGCAAUGCCGCGUGAGUGAAGAAGGCCUUCGGGUUAAAGCUCUUUGGUCAGGGAAGAAACAGCAGCUCUAACACAGUAUGCGAAUGACGGUACCUGAAGAAUAAGCACCGGCUAACUACGUGCCAGCCGCCGCGGUAA
rnacentral:rRNA from 1 species